GAUGAACGCUGGCGGCGUGCUUAACACAUGCAAGUCGAACGAAGAUGCCGGAGUGCUUGCACUUUGGCAGACUGAGUGGCGGACGGGUGAGUAACGCGUGGGUAACCUGCCUUAUACAGGGGGAUAACAGUUGGAAACGACUGCUAAUACCGCAUAAGCGCACGGUAUCGCAUGAUACAGUGUGAAAAACUCCGGUGGUAUAAGAUGGACCCGCGUCUGAUUAGCUUGUUGGUGAGGUAACGGCCCACCAAGGCAACGAUCGGUAGCCGGACUGAGAGGUUGAACGGCCACAUUGGGACUGAGACACGGCCCAGACUCCUACGGGAGGCAGCAGUGGGGAAUAUUGCACAAUGGGGGAAACCCUGAUGCAGCGACGCCGCGUGGAGGAAGAAGGUCUUCGGAUUGUAAACUCCUGUUGUUGAGGAAGAUAAUGACGGUACUCAACAAGGAAGUGACGGCUAACUACGUG
rnacentral:rRNA from 1 species